GGNAUCUUGGANAUGGGCGAAAAGCCUGAUCCAGCAAUGCCGCGUGCGUGAAGAAGGCCUUCGGGUUGUAAAGCGCUUUUGUCUGGGAGCAAAUCCUUGUGGCUAAUACCCACCGGGGAUGAGAGUACCAGAAGAAUAAGGACCGGCUAACUACGUGCCAGCAGCCGCGGUAAUACGUAGGGUCCAAGCGUUAAUCGGAAUUACUGGGCGUAAAGCGUGCGCAGGUGGUUUGUUA
rnacentral:rRNA from 1 species